ACUGGGGAGCUGAGGUGCUCGCGCCGCCGCUCUGAGCCCGAGCGCGCGCCUCUCAGGCGCCGCGGCCGGAGCUGGAGAACGCUACUGCUCCGCUCGCCUGCCCCGCUAGAUUCGGCGUUGCCCGCCCCCUGCAGCCUGUGCUGCAGCUGCCGGCCACCGGAGGGGGCGAACAACUAAACGUCAACCUGUUGUUUGUCCCGUCACCAUUUAUCAACUCAGCACCACAAGGAAGUGCGGCACCCACACGCGCUCGGAAAGUUCAGCAUGCAGGAAGUCUGGGGUGAGCUCGGCAAUUAGCACAGCGGCCCGGGCCAGCGCAGGGCGAGCGCAGGCGGCGAGAGCGCAGGGCGGCGCGGCGUCGGUCCCGGGAGCGGAACCCGGCUUUUUCUUGGAGCGACGCUGUCUCUAGUCGCUGAUCCCAAAUGCACCGGCUCAUCUUUGUCUACACUCUAGUCUGCGCAAACUUUUGCAGCUGUCGGGACACUUCUGCAACUCCGCAGAGCGCAUCCAUCAAAGCUUUGCGCAACGCCAACCUCAGGCGAGAUGAGAGCAAUCACCUCACAGACUUGUACCGAAGAGAUGAGACCAUCCAGGUGAAAGGAAACGGCUACGUGCAGAGUCCUAGAUUCCCGAACAGCUACCCCAGGAACCUGCUCCUGACAUGGCGGCUUCACUCUCAGGAGAAUACACGGAUACAGCUAGUGUUUGACAAUCAGUUUGGAUUAGAGGAAGCAGAAAAUGAUAUCUGUAGGUAUGAUUUUGUGGAAGUUGAAGAUAUAUCCGAAACCAGUACCAUUAUUAGAGGACGAUGGUGUGGACACAAGGAAGUUCCUCCAAGGAUAAAAUCAAGAACAAACCAAAUUAAAAUCACAUUCAAGUCCGAUGACUACUUUGUGGCUAAACCCGGAUUCAAGAUUUAUUAUUCUUUGCUGGAAGAUUUCCAACCCGCAGCAGCUUCAGAGACCAACUGGGAAUCCGUCACAAGCUCUAUUUCAGGGGUAUCCUAUAACUCUCCAUCAGUAACGGAUCCCACUCUGAUUGCGGAUGCUCUGGACAAAAAAAUUGCAGAAUUUGAUACUGUGGAAGAUCUGCUCAAGUACUUCAAUCCAGAGUCAUGGCAAGAAGAUCUUGAGAAUAUGUAUUUGGACACCCCUCGUUAUCGAGGCAGGUCAUACCAUGACCGGAAGUCAAAAGUUGACCUGGAUAGGCUCAAUGAUGAUGCCAAGCGUUACAGUUGCACUCCCAGGAAUUACUCGGUCAAUAUAAGAGAAGAGCUGAAGCUGGCCAACGUGGUCUUCUUUCCGCGUUGCCUCCUCGUGCAGCGCUGUGGAGGAAACUGUGGCUGUGGAACUGUCAACUGGAGGUCCUGCACAUGCAGUUCAGGGAAAACCGUGAAAAAGUAUCAUGAGGUAUUACAGUUUGAGCCUGGCCACAUCAAGAGGAGGGGCAGAGCUAAGACCAUGGCUCUGGUUGACAUCCAGUUGGAUCACCAUGAACGAUGCGAUUGUAUCUGCAGCUCAAGACCACCUCGAUAAGAGAAUGUGCACAUCCUCACAUUAAGCCUGAAAGAACCUUUAGUUUAAGGAGGGUGAGAUAAGAGACCCUUUUCCUGCCAGCAACCAAACUUACUACUAGCCUGCAAUGUAAUGAACACAAGUGGUUGCUGAGUCUCAGCCUUGGUUUGUUAAUGCCAUGGCAAGUAGAAAGCAAAUACAUUAAAGCCCACUAUGUAUCAGACAUGCUUUGAGGCUUGAAACACAAGAUUCACAACAGAGGAUAAAACGAGAGAAAGAUAUUCUAGGUAAGAUCAACAGGAAGAACAAAGGUCUCCCAGCAAAAAUGCAUAAGGUAAGUGUGGGCAGUUCAAAAAAUAUAAAGUGAUAGAAAGGAAAGAAAAGGAAACUGUAGGCAACUGAAUUUAGUAUUUUACAUUUAGGAAAGGAAGCUCCAUGAGGACCUCUGAGCACAGUGGGGGCUGUACGUGACGUAGAGCACCAGACAGAAAGUUAGAAGGUCUUGGUUGUAGAGACUAGCCUGCCACUUUCUAAACCUAUGUUUCCUCAUUUACACACUCAGAUAUGUAAGAUGUUCUGUAGGUGUCUUCUGGCAGAACAAUUAUGCAAUUCUGCAUUUUGGAAAAUGGGUCUACAGAAAGAGUAGGGAUUGGGAUAUGAGUUAUGAGGCUCCUUGAAGUUCUAGGGGUGAGACAAUAAGGAUAAAACGAGACUUCAGAGACAGGAAGGGAAGUUUGCCUCUGUGGCUGUUCAGGCUGUGCACUACAAAUCUCUAGGGGGUGCUAUUUGCAUGAACUAAGACGACAAGACCGGUUAAGAGGUUUCAAAGUUCUUUGUGAUUGGAUGGGCUGGAAGUGCAGGCUUGGAGAUCUCCUGGAGGAAGAAGUCAUGUGAGUUGGAAUAUCAAGAGAAUUACCAUGGGAAAACCAGGGAGGCAGGAAGGAGGGGUGAAUUUUGCAGGCAUGUCUCCAAGAAGAGGAGCCAGGUCUUGUAACGUUGAAAGGGAGUCAUCCUCAGUGUCAAAGCUGAAACCAUAAGAAGAUAGACGGAACCUGAAAGACCUCCAUAACCAUUAAGAGGAAAGAAGGCUAGUUUCUAAAGCUCAUAAAAAUGUGUUCUGAAAAUAUAUUAAGUACUGACUGAGGGCUAAAGGUCUAGCUCUGUGCUAAAUACAGCAGAUUCACGGGAGAAUAAACAUAUUUCCUGCCUUUAUCAAGCUAGAAAAGACAUUACAUGAAGCUAGGGAAAACUAGACACUAAACAAAUAAUUACAUAUGCAAUCCAAUACAUUUGUGAAAAGCAAAAGCAUAAUGUGUGAUGACAGUAAAAGGUGGAAUCCAGAUCAGAGGAUAAGGAAGGGUUCUGUGAGAAGAUGACGUUAGAGCAGGAACAGAAAGUUGAAUAAACGUUAGAAGCAAAGUGAAAGGAGAGUGUGACAUUAAAUGGUAGCAAUAAAAAUGAAAAAAAAAUCUAGCUAGAUUAAAGAAAUAGUUUGAAUCUUUAAUUGAUCAGAGUUGGGGAUAUAUUAGACUGAGGCAAAAGAAGAUAGAAGAUAUCAAGGGUUUUUCCAAGGCUUCUGGCAUAACAAACUUUGCAGAUAGAGGUGCCAUUUAUUAAGAUGGGGAACCUGCAAAGAGAAGGAGAUUUAGGAUAAAUUAAGAAUUCAGUGUGAGGUAUUAAUUCCAAGUGACAUUUGAUAUAUCCAGUUGGAGAUAUUAAGUAGGCAGUUAGGUCUGUGGGUCUGGAGCUAAGAAGAAGGGCCUGAGACAGAUGUAAAUUUAGAAGUCAGCAACAUACAGUGGUAUUACAAAACCCAGGAACAGUCCAGACACUUAGGGGAGGGUGAAAACUGAAAGGGGAAGAAUCACAGGGCAAUUGUGAGUAUAUAAAAAUGUUCUAAGUGCCAGAGGAAGAAAUUGUUGCAGAGAGUCUGGGUCAGUUUUAUCGACUACGGCAGAGAAAGUAUGAGAAACACCUACAGAUUUAUCGGCUCAGAAAUACUCCUUUCUAACCUCUUUUCUGAGAGAUUCCUCUUCAUCUGUAGCAGUAUUGUCCAAUAGAACUUCUUGCGAUGAUGGAGAUGUUCUAUAUCUGUUCUAAGAGAGCAGCUAAUAGCCACAUUUGGCUAUUAAGAACUGGAAGCAAGACCAGUGUGGCUGAAGAUUUUUUAAUUUUAUUUAAUUUUACUUAAUUAACAUUUAAAUAUAAAUUGCCACAUGUGACAAGUGGCUACUGUAUUAGGCUAUGCAGUUGUAGAUUUUAUUAUCACCCAGAGUUGUAGCCAGAAUAACCACUUCACAGCACCACACAUACAUACUAGCCACAGCCAGGGGCAUCUGACUCAAGCUUUCUCAGGAUGUAUGGGCCUAAGAAGAGAUUCAGACAGUCUCCUUAGUUAUUUGGAUGGCAGGAUGUGAAAAUCAAUGGCUAUUGGCAGCCAUACUCCCUGCCAUGUAGACUAAAAAUCUAGAGAAAGUCAAACUAUAAAAGAAAAGAAGGAAGAAAGACACAAACACACAGAAAGUCCUGAGGGAGUCCCUCCUUCUCAUUAGUUCUGAUGUCUGGCCAAACCCAUCUCUGGUUCUCUGAGAAUGUCACAUGGUGGAAAUGUGAGUCAGAUGAUAAGAUAUUUGGAGGGAAGAAUUGUGAUGAAAUGAAAAUGCUGAGUGAAAACCACUAUCUCAAGGAGUUGAUAGGUGAGUGAAAAGAGAGAACUACCGUUAGCCCUUUAUAUCCACAGGUUCCACAUCUAUGGAUUCAACCAACAGCAGAUCAAA